rnacentral:rRNA from 1 species
UACAGAGGUCUCAAGCGUUGUUCGGAUUCAUUGGGCGUAAAGGGUGCGUAGGCGGCGCGGUAAGUCGGGUGUGAAAUCUCGGGCUUAACUCCGAAACUGCAUUCGAUACUGCCGUGCUUAAGGACUGGAGAGGAGACUGGAAUUUACGGUGUAGCGGUGAAAUGCGUAGAUAUCGUAAGGAAGACCAGUGGCGAAGGCGGGUCUCUGGACAGUUCCUGACGCUGAGGCACGAAGGUCAGGGGAGCAAACGGG